rnacentral:rRNA from 1 species
CACGUAGGGGGCAAGCGUUGUCCGGAUUUAUUGGGCGUAAAGAGCUCGUAGGUGGUUCGGUAAGUCGGGUGUUAAACCCCCAGGCUCAACCUGGGGACGCCACUCGAUACUGCUGUGACUAGAGUCCGGUAGGGGAGCGUGGAAUUCCUGGUGUAGCGGUGAAAUGCGCAGAUAUCAGGAGGAACACCGGUGGCGAAGGCGGGUCUCUGGGCCGUAACUGACGCUGAGGAGCGAAAGCGUGGGGAGCGAACAGG